CAGUCGCCGCGGGAAUACGUAGGGUGCAAGCGUUAAUCGGAAUUACUGGGCGUAAAGCGUGCGCAGGCGGUUCGUUAAGACAGAUGUGAAAUCCCCGGGCUUAACCUGGGAACUGCAUUUGUGGCUGGCGGGCUAGAGUAUGGCAGAGGGGGGUAGAAUUCCACGUGUAGCAGUGAAAUGCGUAGAGAUGUGGAGGAAUACCGAUGGCGAAGGCAGCCCCCUGGGCCAAUACUGACGCUCAUGCACGAAAGCGUGGGGAGCAAACAGGAUUAGAUACCCCCGUAGUCCCUGUCUCUUAUAC
rnacentral:rRNA from 1 species